rnacentral:tRNA from 1 species
GGUGGCCGGCGGCGCCGCGGACCGGCGCGGGGAGAGCUCGGAACUCGCCGCGGCCGAGGUCCCCACCGCCUGACGGGUCACAACCGGCCGGCCGCCU